CACGUAGGGCGCGAGCGUUGUCCGGAAUUAUUGGGCGUAAAGAGCUCGUAGGCGGCCUGUUGCGUCCGCUGUGAAAGCCCGGGGCUUAACCCCGGGUCUGCAGUGGAUACGGGCAGGCUAGAGGUAGGUAGGGGAGAAUGGAAUUCCCGGUGUAGCGGUGAAAUGCGCAGAUAUCGGGAGGAACACCGGUGGCGAAGGCGGUUCUCUGGGCCAACACUGACGCUCAUGCACGAAAGCGUGGGGAGCAAACAGG
rnacentral:rRNA from 1 species